ensembl:lncRNA
GCGAGAGUGGUGAGUAUCUGAAUACAAUUUAUGAAGCAUUCUGCCAGAGGAGCAUGUUAAUAUUUCAUGGGUCUUAUUACAGCAACAAAGUACUGGGGAGAUUUCACAAAAACCCACUUACACGCAGAGUGGCAUAUGUAUGUAAACACACACACACACACACACACACACACACACACACGCCUUCCAGAGUCAUUUUAAUUGCCGUCUCUGGGGUGACACAAGUUGUGUGGAAGCCCCCCACUGGUUCAUUCCCUGAUGAACACACAUGCACACACACACACAAACACACACACACACACAAUCACCCCAGGUUUGCAGUAUAAUGAGUGCUAUAUUUAAACAGUGCUGUUGCACUUGGACAAACUAAACAAGGAUGAUAUACUGUUUCCUCGUAUAGAGUUUUCCAUCUUCAGGCUGUGUGUUCUACGAGUCUCCAUCCUCAUCAAACAAAAAAGGGAGAUAGAGCAGGGUGGAUAUGUAGGGAGAGUACAGCAAGGUGGAUGUAUAUGGAGAAUACAGCAGGGUGGAUUUGUAGGGAGAGUACAGUAGACUGGAUUUGUAGGGAGAGUACAGCAGGGUUGAUGUAUAUGGAGAGUACAGCAGGGUGGAUGUAUAUGGAGAGUACAGUAGGGUACAAGAUUAGAUUUGGCACUGUCCUGGUGAAGAAGAAAGCGAAGCUGAGCUUUAUGGAGAAAUGAAAAUCCUCUGAACCUCAUGAAUAAUGCAGAUGGAGGUGCUGACCUUUCUCUCGCAUGCUCUGGUGGCCAUGUUUGGCUCUCAGUGUGCCCGGCCCUGUAAGAUUCCUCAGCCUUCGUCACGAUGCACUCUGAUUCGCACUCUCAUCUUUAGAAAUGCCACAAUUUACCCCGAGGUGCCUCUUUACCUACUAAACCAUGCUGAAAAACAAAUCUUACACAGACAGCAUUGAUAAUUGUUUUGAUCUCUGUGGCAGUAUGAACGUACAGUAUAAUUUAUGUGUACACACAGAAGCAUAAUUCCAAUAGGGGUUUACAGCACAAUUUUUGUGUGACUUUGUCUUCAAAGUAGUUGUGUUUAGCAUGAAUUCUUCAGAGUAAAACACUGACACACUGGUGUAGCACCAGAACAAGCACCACGACCCGCUGAACACCUCGCAGCACCAUGGAUAGCGACAUCACUAAAACGCACUGAACUUCAGAACCAUGGAUAGAAACAUCAAACCACACUGAAGUUCAGAACCAUGGACAGGAGUGUCGACACAAACAAGCUGAGUUUCAGCACCAUGGACAGCGCCGACGCCGUUCUACCCUUUGCCAGUGUUUUCAGUACCAUAGACGGUAUCGAGUAAGAUCCAAUCUGUUUCAGGGCCGCGGCGGCAACAAAAA